rnacentral:rRNA from 1 species
GAUGAACGCUGGCGGCGUGCCUAAUACAUGCAAGUCGAGCGAACAGAUGAGGAGCUUGCUCCUCUGACGUUAGCGGCGGACGGGUGAGUAACACGUGGAUAACCUACCUAUAAGACUGGGAUAACUUCGGGAAACCGGAGCUAAUACCGGAUAAUAUAUUGAACCGCAUGGUUCAAUAGUGAAAGACGGUUUUGCUGUCACUUAUAGAUGGAUCCGCGCCGCAUUAGCUAGUUGGUAAGGUAACGGCUUACCGAGGCAACGAUGCGUAGCCGACCUGAGAGGGUGAUCAGCCACACUGGAACUGAGACACGGUCCAGACUCCUACGGGAGGCAGCAGUGGGGAAUAUUGGACAAUGGGCGCAAGCCUGAUACAGCAAUGCCGCGUGGGUGAAGAAGGCCUUCGGGUCGUAAAGCCCUGUUGUUGGGAAAGAAAAAAAGUGGGUGUACCUACCGCUGUCCUGACGGUACCCAAAGAAUAAGCACCGGCUAACUUCGUG